CUGCACGGAGAAGAGCAGCGCUGCGGAUGGCUGCGUUCAGAGUAACGUGGUGUCUGCGCCUCACGACACAAAAGUCCAAGUUCGCCGAUUCCGGAGUGAGCAACUUAUUGUACAGUAACCCUUCCUACCGAACCUCAACACAGGAAGUGAAAAUAGAAACAGCACAGAAACCACCAAUAUACAACCAGCUAUGAUAUAAAAAAAGAGGAGGGCAGUUACACCACCGAGAAUAUUCGUAUCGUGGAGGGGGUGUGUCUGCUCUCGGGGGAGGAGCUUUACUGGGAGGAUCUGAAGCAGCUAAAGGUGCUUCUGAUGCGCACCGAUACGGUGUCCUUACUGGCCAGCUCCGCCUCCCUCCAGGCCAGCUCCGCCUCCCUCCAGGCCAGCUCCGCCUCCCUCCAGGCCAGCUCCGCCUCCUUGGACGACACCGAGACCGAACAGCUGCUUCUAGGCGACUAAUCGGAAUGCUCAAGUUUGAGCACUGCUCCCGUGGUGACGCCCAAACGCCACAGUGCACUCCCUGACAUGGGCUGGGUCCCGAAUCGCAAGCCAUCCACUGAGAGCGAAGU